rnacentral:rRNA from 1 species
UUACGCCCCAAGUUUAUUUUAGGUGACCACUUAUAGAAAAAUAUUCAAAGCUAUGCAUUCCAACGCGUUGGGAGAUCUCUCCCCUAAUGGUCGACCAGCAAGGCGGCCCGGGAAUUCAUAGUGAUAUAAAGUUUGAUCCUGGUUCAGGAAUAAACCUAAGCAACGUGCCUAAUGCAAGCAAGUCGCACGGGAAGCCCUUUAUUUCGGUAAAAGGGUGAGGAGUGGCGAACGGGGUGAGUAACCACGUGGUGACCUACCCAAAGAGGGGGAUAACUGCUGGAAAACGGCAGCUAAUACCCCCGGAUGUCGACCUGGUUAGAAGAGGGAAUGACUGAAGCGACCGGUGUAGGCCGGGGCGUGCUCUGGGGAGGGGCCUGCGGCCCAUCAGCUAGUUGGUAGGGUAACGGCUUACCAAGGCAAAGACGGGUAGGGGGCGUGAGAGCGUGGCCCCCCACACUGGUACUGAAACACGGACCAGAUACCUGCGGGUAGCAGCAGCAAGGAAUAUUGCGCAAUGGGGGAAACCCUGACGCAGCAACGCCGCGUGGAGGAAGAAGGCCUUCGGGUUGUAAACUCCUUUUCUGGGGGAAGAAGGCGGCUGUUUAAGGACAGCGAGUGCUUGACGGUACCCCAGGAAGAAGGCCCGGCUAACUACGUGCCAGCAGCCGCGGUAAAACGUAGGGGCCGAGCGUUAUCCGGAAUUACUGGGCGUAAAGCGCGUGCAGGCGGUUGCGAAAGUCGGACGUGAAAGCUCCUGGCUCAACUGGGAGAGGCCGUUCGAAACUGUGCAACUCGAGGGUGGUAGAGGCGAGUGGAAUUCCCGGUGUAGUGGUGAAAUGCGUAGAUAUCGGGAGGAACACCAGAGGCGAAGGCGGCUCGCUGGGCCAGCCCUGACGCUCAGACGCGAAAGCUAGGGGAGAGAACGGGAUUAGUGCCCCGGUAUUCCUAGCUGUAAACGAUGUCAACUAGGUGAAGGGGGUAACCAACCCCUCUGUGCUGCCGCAAACGCAAAUAAAUUGACCCGCCUUGGGAAAAUCGGCCU